rnacentral:rRNA from 1 species
GAUGAACGCUAGCUACAGGCUUAACACAUGCAAGUCGAGGGGAAACGGCAUCGAAAGCUUGCUUUUGAUGGGCGUCGACCGGCGCACGGGUGAGUAACGCGUAUCCAACCUGCCCAUCACUUGGGAAUAACCUUGCGAAAGUAAGACUAAUGCCCAAUGACAUCCCACGAAGGCAUCCGAAUGGGAUUAAAGAUUUAUCGGUGAUGGAUGGGGAUGCGUCUGAUUAGCUUGUUGGCGGGGUGACGGCCCACCAAGGCAACGAUCAGUAGGGGUUCUGAGAGGAAGGUCCCCCACAGUGGAACUGAGACAAGGUCCAAACUCCUACGGGAGGCAGCAGUGAGGAAUAUUGGUCAAUGGGCGAGAGCCUGAACCAGCCAAGUAGCGUGCAGGAUGACGGCCCUAUGGGUUGUAAACUGCUUUUAUAAGGGAAUAAAGUGGGUCACGUGUGACUUUUUGCAUGUACCUUAUGAAUAAGGACCGGCUAAUUCCGUG